UACGAAGGGGGCUAGCGUUGCUCGGAAUCACCGGGCGUAAAGGGUGCGUAGGCGGGUUGGCAAGUCGGGUGUGAAAACUCCAGGCUCAACCUGGAGACGCCACCCGAUACUGCCAUGGCUUGAGUCCGGUAGGGGACCACGGAAUUCCUGGUGUAGCGGUGAAAUGCGCAGAUAUCAGGAGGAACACCGGUGGCGAAGGCGGUGGUCUGGGCCGGUACUGACGCUGAGGAGCGAAAGCGUGGGGAGCGAACAGG
rnacentral:rRNA from 1 species